AUUGAACGCUGGCGGCAGGCCUAACACAUGCAAGUCGAACGGUAACAGGAAACAGCUUGCUGUUUCGCUGACGAGUGGCGGACGGGUGAGUAAUGUCUGGGAAACUGCCUGAUGGAGGGGGAUAACUACUGGAAACGGUAGCUAAUACCGCAUAACGUCUCAAGACCAAAGAGGGGGACCUUCGGGCCUCUUGCCAUCGGAUGUGCCCAGAUGGUAUUAGCUAGUAGGUGGGGUAACGGCUCACCUAGGCGACGAUCCCUAGCUGGUCUGAGAGGAUGACCAGCCACACUGGAACUGAGACACGGUCCAGACUCCUACGGGAGGCAGCAGUGGGGAAUAUUGCACAAUGGGCGCAAGCCUGAUGCAGCCAUGCCGCGUGUAUGAAGAAGGCCUUCGGGUUGUAAAGUACUUUCAGCGGGGAUGAAGGGAGUAAAGUUAAUACCUUGGCUCAUUGACGUUACCCGCAGAAGAAGCACCGGCUAACUCCGUG
rnacentral:rRNA from 1 species